rnacentral:rRNA from 1 species
AAUAUUGGACAAUGGGGGCAAGCCUGAUCCAGCCAUGCCGCGUGGGUGAUGAAGGCCUUCGGGUUGUAAACCCCUUUCGGCGGGGACGAUAAUGACGGUACCCGCACAAUAAGCCCCGGCUAACUUCGUGCCAACAGCCGCGGUAAUAAAAUAUGG